CAGUAGCCGCGGUAAUACGGAGGGUGCAAGCGUUAAUCGGAAUUACUGGGCGUAAAGCGCACGCAGGCGGUCUGUCAAGUCAGAUGUGAAAUCCCCGGGCUUAACCUGGGAACUGCAUUUGAAACUGGCAGGCUAGAGUCUUGUAGAGGGGGGUAGAAUUCCAGGUGUAGCGGUGAAAUGCGUAGAUAUGCGGAGGAACACCGAUGGCGAAGGCAAUCACCUGGGCCUGUACUGACGCUCAUGCACGAAAGCGUGGGGAGCAAACAGGAUUAGAUACCCGGGUAGUCCCUGUCUCUUAUAC
rnacentral:rRNA from 1 species